UACGUAGGGGGCGAGCGUUGUCCGGAUGUACUGGGCGUAAAGCGCUUGUAGGCGGUCCACCAAGUUUGGGGGGACAGUUGCCGACUUAAUCGGCAAAGUGCCUCAAAGACUGGCGGACUUGAGGGCCACAGAGGGACAUGGAACUCCAGGUGUAGUGGUGAAAUGCGUAGAUAUCUGGAAGAACACCAAAGGCGAAGGCAGUGUCCUGGGUGGUCGCUGACGCUGAGAGGCGAAAGCCAGGGGAGCGAACGGG
rnacentral:rRNA from 1 species